rnacentral:SRP_RNA from 1 species
ACCGAGCUCGGUAACUUGGGCUUGUAACCCAAAUGAGGGUAUCAGAGUGGUGGAACGUUGGGCUGUUCCCAGAAGGUAGGGCUUGAUGGGCUAUUUCUGGCUUGCCCUGUCCAAGGGCAGAGUUGGAUCACGGGGCCUAAUGGAAAGCAUCAAAGUGGGAUGGACUGCGUGAGGCUGGUUCCACAGAGCACCGAACAGUUCCCGUUCUGUGCAGUGGAAGGAUAACGGCUGGUGUUCUUCAAGUCCAACAAAGGCCCGAUGGGCUGUCCAGUUAAACCACCAUUUUU